AUUGAACGCUGGCGGCAUGCCUUACACAUGCAAGUCGAACGGCAGCACGGGUGCUUGCACCUGGUGGCGAGUGGCGAACGGGUGAGUAAUACAUCGGAACGUACCUUAUCGUGGGGGAUAACGCAGCGAAAGCUGUGCUAAUACCGCAUACGCCCUGAGGGGGAAAGCGGGGGAUCGAAAGACCUCGCGCGAUUAGAGCGGCCGAUGCCUGAUUAGCUUGUUGGUGGGGUAAAAGCCCACCAAGGCGACGAUCAGUAGCUGGUCUGAGAGGACGAUCAGCCACACUGGGACUGGGACACGGCCCAGACUCCUACGGGAGGCAGCAGUGGGGAAUUUUGGACAAUGGGGGCAACCCUGAUCCAGCAAUGCCGUGUGAGUGAAGAAGGCCUUCGGGUUGUAAAGCUCUUUUGUCAGGGAAGAAACACCGGCUCUAACACAGUCCGGGAAUGACGGUACCUGAAGAAUAAGCACCGGCUAACUACGUGCCAGCCGCCGCAGUAA
rnacentral:rRNA from 1 species